rnacentral:rRNA from 1 species
UACAGAGGUCUCAAGCGUUGUUCGGAUUCAUUGGGCGUAAAGGGUGCGUAGGUGGCGCGGUAAGUCGGGUGUGAAAUUUCGGAGCUUAACUCCGAAACUGCAUUCGAUACUGCCGUGCUUGAGGACUGGAGAGGAGACUGGAAUUUACGGUGUAGCAGUGAAAUGCGUAGAGAUCGUAAGGAAGACCAGUGGCGAAGGCGGGUCUCUGGACAGUUCCUGACGCUGAGACGCGAAAGCGUGGGGAGCGAACAGG